GGCAAAAGCCAUGGCAGAGUUUUAACGCUAGCGAAUUUGAUUCGUUAGAUCGUGGGUUCAAGACCCACCAUGGUCU